rnacentral:rRNA from 1 species
UGGGGGAUAUUGCACAAUGGGCGAAAGCCUGAUGCAGCGACGCCGCGUGGGGGAUGAAGGCCUUCGGGUUGUAAACUUCUUUUGCUCUGAACAAGGCAUGCUAAUGGGUGUGUUGAGUGUAGGGGUUGAUUAGCGCCGGCUAACUACGUGCCAGCAGCCGCGGUAAUACGUAGGGCGCGAGCGUUGUCCGGAAUUAUUGGGCGUAAAGGGCUUGUAGGUGGCUGGUUGCGUCUGUCGUGAAAGCUCAUGGCUUAACUGUGGGUUUGCGGUGGGUACGGGCUGGCUUGAGUGCAGUAGGGGAGGCUGGGAUUCCUGGUGUAGCGGUGGAAUGCGCAGAUAUCAGGAGGGAUACCGGUGGCGAAGGCGGGUCUCUGGGCUGUUACUGACACUGAGGAGCGAAAGCAUGGGGAGCGAACAGG